rnacentral:tRNA from 1 species
GGGGUUGUGGCUCAGCGGCAGAGCACUCCCCUGGCAAGUGCCAGGCCCUGGGUUCGAUCCCCAGCAGCACAU